CAUUUUUGGCAUGAAGCCCAUGGCAUAUGGUUUUUCGUCAGCCAAAAAUAAUAGCAUCAAAUUUGUUUGUCGUCUUCAUUCUCACCAUUCACCGAUUUUAAAACCAAGCACGUGCUUCAUUCAUACAUAUCUGACAAUUCUCUGUGUUUCUCCACAGCCACUACGGCCACUACCACCCUCACUCUCGAGAACGUGUUCCUGUGUGUAUAUAUAUGUGAUCUAAGCCCUAAACAUUUCUCGAAGUUGUUGAUUUUGAAAUCGACCUUUUCCUUCCUCCAAAACACUUAAAUUUAUAUCACUCUACCUACCGUGACUGUCAGUUGACCAUUUCGCUUUCCGUACAUGUCCUUGAGAUUCCUUAGUUUUACGGUCACUGGCGACUCCAUUUCCGGAUUUUGAUUUAUGCCGAAGAGGUUCUUGUGACGGCACGAUGGACGAUAAGAAAACAACUGCAGGUGAAGUGGUUGUGCAAAUAUCCGGGGAAGAUUCAAAAGCUCGAAAUACUAUGGAUUCACCUAAAAUGGCAUCUGCAGAUUCGAGUCCGGGACUCGCGAAAUCGGCGGCACCACUGAGCUGUCCUUCGCCUGAGAUUGCUCGGUUCAGUCCAAGCCCCAAAAAGGCUCCGAAAAUCCCCACCAAUGAAACCCUAACUCGUCGAAAAUCGCUCGCGAGAGUGUAUUCCAACAAACCCAAGUCAAGAUUUGGUGAACAAUCUGUAAUUCUUGAUUCAAAUAUGUUUGAAGAAAAUGGUUCAUCUCUGCAAGAACAAUUUGACCGGAGUGGAACUUCACCUCAUAGAAAUUUAUCUAAUCGGGCAUCACCUAAUAACAAAUCGGCAUCCCCUACUACUACUACUCUUAAGGAGACUCUUAGGACAGUAUCAGUUACUCCGAAAACUCCAUUGAUGGCAUCACCUGGAGGUGUGCGAGGACUGGAUGAGGAAGAAGAGAUCUAUAAGAAAGUGAGUACUAAAAAUAGGUUGAAGUAUAGGAGAGUGAAGAUGAAGGUGUUAGUUGAAUGGGUCUUUUUCUUUUGCAUUUUGGGUACUUUGGUAGCUAGCUUGACUGUCUACAAAAUGCAACACACUAAUAUUUCGGGUUUGCGGAUUUGGAAAUGGUGUGUGCUUGUAAUGGUGACCUUUUCUGGCAUGUUGGUUACUAAAUGGUUUAUCCGUGUUCUCGUUUUCUUGAUUGAACUGAACUUUUUGUUCAAAAAGAAGGUGAUGUAUUUCGUUCAUGGGUUGAAGAAGAGUGUUCAGGUCUGUAUUUGGUUGUGUCUGGUUCUUGUUACUUGGGUUUUGUUGUUCAGACAUAGUGUCGAGCGGUCAGACAUUGGCAAUAAAAUUUUAGAUUAUGUUACUUGGACCAUCGUCUCUUUGCUCAUUGGUACAUUUUUGUGGGUUAUUAAGACUUUUCUACUUAAGGUUUUGGCAUCAUCUUUCCAUGUCAAUACAUUCUUUGAUAGGAUUCAAACGUCAAUUUUCCAUCAGUAUAUUCUCCAGACCCUUUCAGGACCUCCAGUUAUGGAGUCAGCUGAAAUGUUAGGGAGGACAAACAGCACUGGUCGCUUGAGUUUCCGAAGAACAAAGGACGGAAAGGAUGGGAAGAAGGAGAAGGAGAAGGAGGUUAUUGAUAUAAAUAAGCUUCAUAAGAUGAAGCAAGAAAAAGUUUCUGCUUGGACCAUGAAGCAGUUGGUUGAUGUGAUAUCGACUUCAGGGCUGUCUACUAUUUCCAAUGCACUCGAUGAAAGUGUUUAUGAUGGAGAGGGUGAACAGGCAGAUAAGGAAAUUACUAACGAAAUGGAAGCCAUUGCAGCUGCCUAUCACAUUUUCAGGAAUGUUGCUCAACCUGGUAGCAAGUACAUUGAUGAGAUCGACCUCAGUAGAUUCAUGAUGAAGGAGGAGGUGGAUAUUGUGUUUCCACUUAUGGCAGGUCCAGAUACUGGACAAAUUGACAGAAAAGCCUUGACAGACUGGGUGGUGAAGGUUUACAACGGCCGAAAAGCACUAGCACAUGCUUUAAGUGAUACAAAAACAGCCGUAAAACAAUUGAACAAAGUUAUCUCAGGGAUCCUUACUGUUGUGAUGGUUAUUGUGUGGCUUCUUUUGACAGAAAUUGCAAAUACCAAAAUACUCCUGCUCCUCUCAUCACAGUUUGUGGCGGCAGCUUUUAUGUUUGGAAGCACUUGCAAGACUAUAUUCGAAUCUAUUAUAUUUGUAUUUGUGAUGCAUCCAUUUGAUGUUGGUGAUCGUUGUGUCAUUGAGGGUGUUCAGAUGAUAGUUGAGGAGAUGAAUAUCUUGACCACAGUCUUCUUGAGAUAUGAUAACGAAAAAAUAUACUAUCCAAAUUCAGUUUUGGCGACCAAACCUAUCAGCAAUUUCUACAGAAGCCCAGAUAUGGGUGAUAAUGUAGAGUUCUCUAUUGAUUUUAUGACACCACUGGAGAAGAUCGGGGCUCUCAAAGAAAAAAUAAAGAAGUAUUUGGAGAAAAAUCCGCAACACUGGCAUCCUAACCACAGUGUGGUGGUUAAGGAGAUUGAGAAUGUGAACAAGAUAAAGAUGGUCAUCUUUUUUAAUCAUACAAUGAACUUUCAAGAAUUUGGGGAGAAGAACAAUCGAAGAUCUGAAUUCGUCUUAGAGUUGAAGAAAAUCUUCGAAGAGCUGGGUAUCAAAUAUAAUCUCCUGCCUCAGGAAGUUCAUCUUGUUGAGUCAUCAACCCCAGCUGGUUCCACCAGAUGAUUAUUGCCGGAGGUUCAAUUCAUCACUUUGAUUGCUAAGGCAUGUCUGUGUCGGAAGCUGCGUGGACAGGUGCUAUGAUGAAGUCCUGAGGAUCUCUCUGUGUUGAAGGAAAGUGAGUGGGUUGCCUCUAGGAUGGUGCUGGAGCUGUCUGUUAACCUGGUAGAGGGAUAAAAAACCGCCUUGUUUUCUAAUAGAUGUUUCAUUGUUAUCAAUUAUGCAGUCAAGAUGUGCAUUGUGGUGUUCAUCUUGUUUUAACUUCCAAUUUGUAUGAUAUAAUUUGAUAAUUUUACCUAAUAUACAUCCAUUGCCUGGGUUUUAGUCGUAA